rnacentral:rRNA from 1 species
UACGGAGGGUGCAAGCGUUGUUCGGGAUCAUUGGGCGUAAAGCGCGUGUAGGCGGCUUGGUAAGUCGGGUGUGAAAUCCCGGGGCUCAACCCCGGAACUGCAUUCGAAACUGCCUCGCUAGAGUCCCGGAGAGGAAGGCGGAAUUCCCGGUGUAGAGGUGAAAUUCGUAGAUAUCGGGAGGAACACCAGCGGCGAAGGCGGCCUUCUGGACGGUGACUGACGCUCAGACGCGAAAGCGUGGGGAGCAAACAGG